rnacentral:rRNA from 1 species
CUGCGGAAGGAUCAUUGUCGA